rnacentral:rRNA from 1 species
UACGGGGGGAGCAAGCGUUGUUCGGAUUUACUGGGCGUAAAGGGCGCGUAGGCGGUCAGCACAAGUCAGUUGUGAAAUCUCCGGGCUUAACUCGGAAAGGUCAACUGAUACUGUGCGACUAGAGUGCGGAAGGGGCAACUGGAAUUCUCGGUGUAGCGGUGAAAUGCGUAGAUAUCGAGAGGAACACCUGCGGCGAAGGCGGGUUGCUGGGCCGACACUGACGCUGAUGCGCGAAAGUGUGGGGAGCGAACAGG